AGUAAAGAGAGAGAAGAAGAAGAAGGGAGCUGCAGGACGCAGCUGCCGCAGCGCGACUCUCCGAUCUUUCCCCGUGCAGAUGACCGGAAGUCGUGACGUGAGAAGCUCCAGCUAAUAGUGAAAGUCCAGGAGGGUCAUCUCUACAUCUCUAGAUCUCUACUCCUGCGUCCUGUUCUUCAUUGCUGUGCUGCUGCAGACUGAAACAUGAGAUGAUCUCCACAUGGAAAGUUGUGCAGACAGCCAGAAUCAAUGGAUCGAUCUCUGCUGGCAAUACUUCAGUGAAAUGUAACAUCACUGAGGAGGCAGAAGGAAACAGAGCCGCUGCUCUCUCCCUUUGUUCGCUGUGAGAAACCCUCUUCUGAAAAUUACAAAUGGAAUUGUCAUGAAUAAUGAACGGUAUGAAUCAUUGGACAGCUUGUGUCAGCUUGAUGACUAAAAUGUGCCGUGAAUGUUCUUACCACUGUAAUGGCCCUGCUGCAGAAUGGGAGGCUAAUUCUGAGGUUGUGAGACGUUUGUGAUUCAGAGAGUGGAAGAGGAAUUACAGAUAAAGCUGCAAAUAUGGGUUAAUGGGCUCAGAGCCCGAGGAUAAAAGGAAGAUGUCUGUCAGUCUGUCCGUCUGUCAGCUGCUGCUUCUUCUGAGGGAUGAAAAACAGAGACGUCAGGUAAAAAAGAUCCCAGAGGAGGACCUCUGAAGAUGAAGCACUUUCAACUACUUAGCUUGUAGCAGGACAUAAUGCAUGCAUUGUAAGGUUGUGCAUUAGCAAGUUCUUACUGUAGAGUAAAAUAUCUUA